GAGAAGGGCGUUUGGUGGAUGCCUUGGCAGUAAGAGGCGAUGAAGGACGUGAUACUCUGCGAUAAGCUAUGGGGAGCCGAGAAUAGGCUUUGAUCCACGGAUUUCUGAAUGGGGCAACCCACCUGACAGUUUCUUAUUGAUAGCUUCGGUUAUCAAUAAGUCGCUGAACCAGGUAUUUAUAGACUGAAUACAUAGGUUUAUAAAAGCAAACCCGGGGAACUGAAACAUCUAAGUACCCAUAGGAAGAGAAAGAAAAUUCGAUUCCCUGAGUAGCGGCGAGCGAAAAGGGAACAGCCCAAACCAGAGAGCUUGCUCUCUGGGGUUGUAGGACUGGACAUUUGAGUUACCAAGAAACGAAGUAGUUGAAUGAUUUGGGAAGAUCAGCCAGAGAAGGUGAUAGCCCUGUAAACGAAACUUCGUUUCCUCAGCCCAGUAUCCUGAGUACGGCGGAACACGUGAAACUCCGUCGGAAUCCGGGAGGACCAUCUCCCAAGGCUAAAUACUCUCUAGUGACCGAUAGUGAACCAGUACCGUGAGGGAAAGGCGAAAAGAACCCCGGAGAGGGGAGUGAAAUAGAACCUGAAACCGUGUGCCUACAACAAGUUCGAGCCCGUUAAUGGGUGAGAGCGUGCCUUUUGUAGAAUGAACCGGCGAGUUACGUUAGCGUGCGAGGUUAAGGCGCAAAGGCCGGAGCCGUAGCGAAAGCGAGUCUGAAUAG
rnacentral:rRNA from 1 species